AAUGAACGUUGGCGGCGUGGAUUAGGCAUGCAAGUCGCGCGAUAAGAGUAGCAAUACUUGGACAGCGGCGAAAGGGAGAGUAAUACAUAGGUACGUACCCUUGGGACUGGGAUAGCGGCGGGAAACUGCCGGUAAUACCGAGAUGACGUUUCCGAACCAAAGGUGUGAAUCCGCCUGAGGAGCGGCCUAUGUCCUAUUAGCUUGGUUGGUGGGGUAACGGCCUACCAAGGCAAAGAUGGGUAUGGGGUGUGAGAGCAUGCCCCAUCACUGGGACUGAGACACUGCCCAGGACACCUACGGGUGGCCUG
rnacentral:rRNA from 1 species